GGGGAUGACCGGUUUUGACAGCAGGUAGAGUUCGAUUGUAAGCACGUCGAGCGCUGUGCGGCAGCUCGUAAAUCCCGACGCUCAACGUACAAAUGGCAACAACAGCUAUGCACUCGCUGCCUAAUUUUCAGAGAAAAUUGGCUUAAUCGCCGGGUCCAAGGAGGUUCGGCGACGAGUAUCCCGAAGGGUGGUUCCGCUCUUUAACCGCUCUUCAUACGGGGUAUCGUUCAUUUAGAGAUAGUACGGUGCAACGCCUCGGGCGCCGUGCGAAACAAAGAGGCUGGGACUUGGGUUAGGC
rnacentral:tmRNA from 1 species